CACAUACAACGGGCAAGAUCAGGGACAGAGAAGAGCCUUUUCUGCCGGACAACAACAAGGUGCUGAAAAUCGAAUUGAAGUUGGUCAGCA
ensembl:ncRNA W01F3.4 ncRNA